CAGUCGCCGCGGUAAUACGAAGGGUGCAAGCGUUAUCGGAAUUACUGGGCGUAAAGCGUGCGUAGGCGGUGAGUUAAGUCUGCUGUGAAAUCCCCGGGCUCAACCUGGGAAUGGCAGUGGAUACUGGCUCGCUAGAGUGUGUCAGAGGAUGGUGGAAUUCCCGGUGUAGCGGUGAAAUGCGUAGAGAUCGGGAGGAACAUCAGUGGCGAAGGCGGCCAUCUGGGACAACACUGACGCUGAGGCACGAAAGCGUGGGGAGCAAACAGGAUUAGAGACCCCUGUAGUCCCUGUCUCUUAUACA
rnacentral:rRNA from 1 species